UACGUAGGCAGCAAGCGUUGUUCGGAGUUACUGGGCGUAAAGGGUGUGUAGGCGGUUCUUUAAGUUUGGUGUGAAAUCUCCCGGCUCAACCGGGAGGGUGCGCCGAAUACUGAGGGACUAGAGUGUGGGAGAGGAAAGUGGAAUUCCUGGUGUAGCGGUGAAAUGCGUAGAUAUCAGGAGGAACACCGGUGGUGUAGACGGCUUUCUGGACCAUAACUGACGCUGAGGAGCGAAAGCGUGGGUAGCAAACAGG
rnacentral:rRNA from 1 species